rnacentral:rRNA from 1 species
GCCCAGACUCCUACGGGAGGCAGCAGUGAGGAAUAUUGGUCAAUGGUCGGGAGACUGAACCAGCCAAGCCGCGUGAGGGAGGAAGGUACAGAGUAUCGUAAACCUCUUUUGUCAGGGAACAAAGGCGGGGACGUGUCCCCGGAUGAGUGUACCUGAAGAAAAAGCAUCGGCUAACUCCGUGCCAGCAGCCGCGGUAAUACGGAGGAUCCGAGCGUUAUCCGGAUUUAUUGGGUUUAAAGGGAGCGUAGGCGGGUUGUUAAGUCAGUUGUGAAAGUUUGCGGCUCAACCGUAAAAUUGCAGUUGAUACUGGCAUCCUUGAGUACAGUAGAGGUAGGCGGAAUUCGUGGUGUAGCGGUGAAAUGCUUAGAUAUCACGAAGAACUCCGAUUGCGAAGGCAGCCUGCUGGACUGUAACUGACGCUGAUGCUCGAAAGUGUGGGUAUCAAACAGGAUUAGAUACCCGAGUA